rnacentral:rRNA from 1 species
GAGUAACGCGUGGGUGACCUGCCUCGAGCGGGGGAUAACGUUCCGAAAGGGACGCUAAUACCGCAUAACAUCCUGUCUUUCAAGAGGCGGAAAUCAAAGCCGGGGAUCGCAAGACCUGGCACUCGAAGAGGGCCCGCGUCCGAUUAGCUAGUUGGUGAGGUAACGGCUCACCAAGGCUCCGAUCGGUAUCCGGCCUGAGAGGGCGGACGGACACACUGGGACUGAGACACGGCCCAGACUCCUACGGGAGGCAGCAGUGGGGAAUUGUUCGCAAUGGGCGCAAGCCUGACGACGCAACGCCGCGUGGAAGGAUGAAGAUCUUCGGGUCGUAAACUCCUUUCGAUCGAGACGAACGGCUUCCGGGUGAACAAUCCGGGAGAGUGACGGUACCGAGAGAAGAAGCCCCGGCUAACUCCGUGCCAGCCGCAGC